rnacentral:rRNA from 1 species
CCUACGGGUGGCAGCAGUGAGGAAUAUUGGACAAUGGACGCGAGUCUGAACCAGCCAAGUAGCGUGUAGGAUGACUGCCCUAUGGGUUGUAAGCUUCUUUUAUAAGGGGAUAAAACGAGUCACGUGUGACUUUUUCAAUGUACUUUAUGAAUAAGGAUCGGCUAACUCCGUGCCAGCAGACGCGGUAAUACGGAGGAUCGGAGCGUUAUCCGGAUUUAUUGGGUUUAAAGGGAACGUAGAUGGGUUGUUAAGUCAGUUGUGAAAUCUUGGGGCUCAACCGGAAAAUUGCAAUUGAUACUGGCAGUCUUGAGUACAGUUGAGGUAGGCGGAAUUCGUGGUGUAGCGGUGAAAUGCUUAGAUAUCACGAAGAACCCCGAUUGCGAAGGCAGCUUACUAAACGGUGACUGACAUUGAUGUGCGAAAGUGUGGGUAGCAAACAGGAUUAGAUACCCGUGUAGUC